UACGAAGGGGGCUAGCGUUGCUCGGAAUCACUGGGCGUAAAGGGUGCGUAGGCGGGUCUUAAGUCAGGGGUGAAAUCCUGGAGCUCAACUCCCAGAACUGCCUUUGAUACUGAAGAUCUUGAGUUCGGGAGAGGUGAGUGGAACUGCGAGUGUAGAGGUGAAAAUUCGUAGAUAUUCGCAAGAACACCAGUGGCGAAGGCGGCUCACUGGCCCGGUACUGACGCUGAGGUGCGGAAAGCGUGGGGAGCAAACA
rnacentral:rRNA from 1 species